rnacentral:rRNA from 1 species
ACACCGGCAGCUCAAGUGGUAGCCGCUUUUAUUGGGCCUAAAGCGUCCGUAGCCGGUCUGAUAAGUCUCUGGUGAAAUCCCGCAGCUUAACUGUGGGAAUUGCUGGAGAUACUAUCAUGACUCGAGGUCGGGAGAGGCUGGAGGUACUCCCAGGGUAGGGGUGAAAUCCUGUAAUCCUGGGAGGACCACCUGUGGCGAAGGCGUCCAGCUGGAACGAACCUGACGGGGAGGGACGAAAGCCAGGGGCGCGAACCGGAGUAGAUACCCGGGUAGUCCUGGCCGUAAACGAUGUGGACUUGGUGUUGGGAUGGCUUCGAGCUGCCCCAGUGCCGAAGGGAAGCUGUUAAGUCCACCGCCUGGGAAGUACGGCCGCAAGGCUGAAACUCAAAUGAAUUGGCGGGG